rfam:Danio rerio chromosome 14, GRCz11 reference primary assembly.
GGCCACAGUCAUAUCACCCUGCAGCCUAAAACUGGUUACUCACUGAAGCUACGCAGGGCAGAGCCUGGUCAGUAGCUUGAUGGGAGACCACAUGGGAAAAAAAAGAUUGCUGUUGGAA